UCACUAUAGGUCGAAAAUUUUGGUCUAAAAAUUCGAGGGAAAAAAAGGUUAAAGAAUUUUAACACCAAUCACAAGACAGUUGAAUAUCACUGUUAUUUGAUGGGAUAAUGAAAACCAAGUUCGCGUUAGAGUUAUUCCAUAAAUUAUAAUCCUGUUCAUGAUAGAACCAGUCUACAAAUUUAAAGCCAUUUCACAAAAGAAUCAUUCAAUAAAUUUAAACCAAGUUCGUGAUAGGAUCAUCUAUAUAUUUAAUCCCAGCUCAUGAUAAGAACAUUUUAUAUAAUUAAAACCCUGUUCGUGAUAGGAUCACUACAGAAAUGUAAAACCAGAUCUUGAUAGAAUCACUCAAUAAAUUUAAACCCAGUUCGUGAUAGAAUCAUUCUACAAAUUUAAAUCAGUUCGUGAUAGGCUCAGUUUAUUAAUUUAACCCAGAUCUUUGUAGGAUCAUUUUAUAAAUUAAAACCGAGUUCGGGAUAAGAUCAUUCUACAAUAUAAAACCAAAUCAGUGACAGGAUCAGUCUAUAAAUUUAAACCCAGUAACUCAUAAGAUCAUUCUAUGAAUUUAAACCCAGCUCGUAAUAGAAUCACUCCAUAAAUUUAAACGCAAGUAGUAAUUAUUUCAACCUCCGCCUCCCCCACCCCCAAAAAAAAAUAAAUAAAUAAGGGGAAAAAAAUCAAACCUGCCAAGAAUAGAGGAAAGGGUCUUGAUAUGAUAGGCUUCAGGCUCUUGUCCUUCGGGCCUCUCAGUGUAAACUAUGUGAACUUUAGCUUCAGAUGAUGAUGAAUCGGCAGCCAUUGCUAUUCUUGAGGUCAAGAACAAAAGGAAAAUUGUUGAGAGAAAAAAGUGGAUUUUCUGCAUAACUUUCUUCGUAUUGGGAUUUGAAGGGACUUCGGUUUGAUUAAUGGGAUAUGCAAAAUUGUGC
rnacentral:lncRNA from 1 species